rnacentral:rRNA from 1 species
UUAAGUUAUUAAGGGCGCACGGUGGAUGCCUUGGCACUAGAAGCCGAUGAAGGACGUUACUAACGACGAUAUGCUUUGGGGAGCUGUAAGUAAGCUUUGAUCCAGAGAUUUCCGAAUGGGGAAACCCAGCAUGAGUUAUGUCAUGUUAUCGAUAUGUGAAUACAUAGCAUAUCAGAAGGCACACCCGGAGAACUGAAACAUCUUAGUACCCGGAGGAAGAGAAAGAGAAUUCGAUUCCCUUAGUAGCGGCGAGCGAAACGGGAAGAGCCCAAACCAACAAGCUUGCUUGUUGGGGUUGUAGGACACUCUAUACGGAGUUACAAAGGACGACAUUAGACGAAUCAUCUGGAAAGAUGAAUCAAAGAAGGUAAUAAUCCUGUAGUCGAAAAUGUUGUCUCUCUUGAGUGGAUCCUGAGUACGACGGAGCACGUGAAAUUCCGUCGGAAUCUGGGAGGACCAUCUCCUAAGGCUAAAUACUCUCUAGUGACCGAUAGUGAACCAGUACCGUGAGGGAAAGGUGAAAAGCACCCCGGAAGGGGAGUGAAAUAGAACCUGAAACCGUGUGCUUACAAGUAGUCAGAGCCCGUUAAUGGGUGAUGGCGUGCCUUUUGUAGAAUGAACCGGCGAGUUACGAUUUGAUGCAAGGUUAAGCAGUAAAUGUGGAGCCGUAGCGAAAGCGAGUCUGAAUAGGGCGUUUAGUAUUUGGUCGUAGACCCGAAACCAGGUGAUCUACCCUUGGUCAGGUUGAAGUUCAGGUAACACUGAAUGGAGGACCGAACCGACUUACGUUGAAAAGUGAGCGGAUGAACUGAGGGUAGCGGAGAAAUUCCAAUCGAACCUGGAGAUAGCUGGUUCUCUCCGAAAUAGCUUUAGGGCUAGCCUCAAGUGAUGAUUAUUGGAGGUAGAGCACUGUUUGGACGAGGGGCCCCUCUCGGGUUACCGAAUUCAGACAAACUCCGAAUGCCAAUUAAUUUAACUUGGGAGUCAGAACAUGGGUGAUAAGGUCCGUGUUCGAAAGGGAAACAGCCCAGACCACCAGCUAAGGUCCCAAAAUAUAUGUUAAGUGGAAAAGGAUGUGGCGUUGCCCAGACAACUAGGAUGUUGGCUUAGAAGCAGCCAUCAUUUAAAGAGUGCGUAAUAGCUCACUAGUCGAGUGACACUGCGCCGAAAAUGUACCGGGGCUAAACAUAUUACCGAAGCUGUGGAUUGUCCUUUGGACAAUGGUAGGAGAGCGUUCUAAGGGCGUUGAAGCAUGAUCGUAAGGACAUGUGGAGCGCUUAGAAGUGAGAAUGCCGGUGUGAGUAGCGAAAGACGGGUGAGAAUCCCGUCCACCGAUUGACUAAGGUUUCCAGAGGAAGGCUCGUCCGCUCUGGGUUAGUCGGGUCCUAAGCUGAGGCCGACAGGCGUAGGCGAUGGAUAACAGGUUGAUAUUCCUGUACCACCUAUAAUCGUUUUAAUCGAUGGGGGGACGCAGUAGGAUAGGCGAAGCGUGCGAUUGGAUUGCACGUCUAAGCAGUAAGGCUGAGUAUUAGGCAAAUCCGGUACUCAUUAAGGCUGAGCUGUGAUGGGGAGAAGACAUUGUGUCUUCGAGUCGUUGAUUUCACACUGCCGAGAAAAGCCUCUAGAUAGAAAAUAGGUGCCCGUACCGCAAACCGACACAGGUAGUCAAGAUGAGAAUUCUAAGGUGAGCGAGCGAACUCUCGUUAAGGAACUCGGCAAAAUGACCCCGUAACUUCGGGAGAAGGGGUGCUCUUUAGGGUUAACGCCCAGAAGAGCCGCAGUGAAUAGGCCCAAGCGACUGUUUAUCAAAAACACAGGUCUCUGCUAAACCGUAAGGUGAUGUAUAGGGGCUGACGCCUGCCCGGUGCUGGAAGGUUAAGAGGAGUGGUUAGCUUCUGCGAAGCUACGAAUCGAAGCCCCAGUAAACGGCGGCCGUAACUAUAACGGUCCUAAGGUAGCGAAAUUCCUUGUCGGGUAAGUUCCGACCCGCACGAAAGGCGUAACGAUUUGGGCACUGUCUCAACGAGAGACUCGGUGAAAUCAUAGUACCUGUGAAGAUGCAGGUUACCCGCGACAGGACGGAAAGACCCCGUGGAGCUUUACUGUAGCCUGAUAUUGAAAUUCGGCACAGCUUGUACAGGAUAGGUAGGAGCCUUUGAAACGUGAGCGCUAGCUUACGUGGAGGCGCUGGUGGGAUACUACCCUAGCUGUGUUGGCUUUCUAACCCGCACCACUUAUCGUGGUGGGAGACAGUGUCAGGCGGGCAGUUUGACUGGGGCGGUCGCCUCCUAAAAGGUAACGGAGGCGCUCAAAGGUUCCCUCAGAAUGGUUGGAAAUCAUUCAUAGAGUGUAAAGGCAUAAGGGAGCUUGACUGCGAGACCUACAAGUCGAGCAGGGUCGAAAGACGGACUUAGUGAUCCGGUGGUUCCGCAUGGAAGGGCCAUCGCUCAACGGAUAAAAGCUACCCCGGGGAUAACAGGCUUAUCUCCCCCAAGAGUUCACAUCGACGGGGAGGUUUGGCACCUCGAUGUCGGCUCAUCGCAUCCUGGGGCUGUAGUCGGUCCCAAGGGUUGGGCUGUUCGCCCAUUAAAGCGGUACGCGAGCUGGGUUCAGAACGUCGUGAGACAGUUCGGUCCCUAUCCGUCGUGGGCGUAGGAAAUUUGAGAGGAGCUGUCCUUAGUACGAGAGGACCGGGAUGGACAUACCUCUGGUGUACCAGUUGUCGUGCCAACGGCAUAGCUGGGUAGCUAUGUGUGGACGGGAUAAGUGCUGAAAGCAUCUAAGCAUGAAGCCCCCCUCAAGAUGAGAUUUCCCAACUUCGGUUAUAAGAUCCCUCAAAGAUGAUGAGGUUAAUAGGUUCGAGGUGGAAGCAUGGUGACAUGUGGAGCUGACGAAUACUAAUCGAUCGAAGACUUAAUCAA